rnacentral:rRNA from 1 species
AUUGAACGCUGGCGGAAUGCUUUACACAUGCAAGUCGGACGGCAGCACGGACUUCGGUCUGGUGGCGAGUGGCGAACGGGUGAGUAAUGUAUCGGAACGUGCCCAGUCGUGGGGGAUAACGUAGUGAAAAUUACGCUAAUACCGCAUACGAUCUAUGGAUGAAAGCGGGGGAUCGCAAGACCUCGCGCGAUUGGAGCGGCCGAUAUCAGAUUAGGUAGUUGGUGGGGUAAAGGCCCACCAAGCAAACUAUCUGUAGCUGGUGUGAGAGGACGACCAGCCACACUGGAACUGGGACACGGUCCAGACUCCGACGGGAGGCAGCGGUGGGGAAUUUUGGACAAUGGGCGAAAGCCUGAUCCAGCCAUUCCGCGUGCAGGAUGAAGGCCCUCGGGUUGUAAACUGCUUUUGUACAGAACGAAAAGGUUUCUACUAAUACUAGGAGCUCAUGACGGUACUGUAAGAAUAAGCACCGGCUAACUACGUGCCAGCCGCCGCAGUAA